CAGUAGCCACGGUAAUACGAAGGGGGCUAGCGUUGUUCGGAUUUACUGGGCGUAAAGCGCACGUAGGCGGACUUUUAAGUCAGGGGUGAAAUCCCGGGGCUCAACCCCGGAACUGCCUUUGAUACUGGGAGUCUUGAGUUCGAGAGAGGUGAGUGGAAUUGCGAGUGUAGAGGUGAAAUUCGUAGAUAUUCGCAGGAACACCAGUGGCGAAGGCGGCUCACUGGCUCGAUACUGACGCUGAGGUGCGAAAGCGUGGGGAGCAAACAGGAUUAGAUACCCCGGUAGUCCCUGUCUCUUAUAA
rnacentral:rRNA from 1 species